rnacentral:rRNA from 1 species
UCUGGUGGUUAUAGAGAGAGGGAAACACCUGUUCCCAUUCCGAACACAGCAGUUAAGCCUCUCAUCGCCAAUGGUACUGCAUGGGUAACUGUGUGGGAGAGUAGGACGCUGCCAGGA